rnacentral:rRNA from 1 species
AUGUCUUCAUCCUCCAGCGCUUCCCAAACCAGCCUCAAUGGCCAAGUUACCGAGAAGCUGACGCAUACAAACUAUGUGCUAUGGCGCACGCAAGUGAUUCCCCAGCUGCGUGGCACCGGUGUCUUCGGCUACGUCGACGACACUCAGCCGGAGCCGGCGAGACUCCUCGUCACCACCAAGGAAGGCAAGGAGGUGUCAUCGCCCAACCCUCUCCACCCAAUCUGGGUCAGGGAGGAUCAGCAGGUUCUCGAAUACCUGCUGAACAAUCUGACGCCCGAGGUGCUGCUCACGGUGACCACGGUCACCACCGCGGGCGCGCUCUGGACGACGCUCGCCGGCAUGUUUUCC